UACUGGCUUGCUUUGUUAGAUGAAACCAAGAUAAGAAGGAACCCGGCCAACGUCACUUCAUUUCCUCUCAGGCAGAUUUAAUAGUUGAAAUGUUCCCAAGCCGUAAAGCAGAGCCAGUGGUGAUUGCUCGGAUGUAGUCAGUGGGAGUCUUGGAGUGCAUAGCUCAGCAUCCAGCCUGGUUCAAACAAGGAUGCUUCAGUAUUGAGCAUCCUGGAAGCUUCACUUUCCUCCUGCAGUCCAGCAGAGAAUGGUGGCGUCAUCACAGAGCGAGGAUUUGCAGGGAUGGAACCACACAGCUUACACCAGUCUGUUCUUCUCCACCAUACUCGAAUCAGGGACAGCUCUCAGUGAAAUGCUCUUCCCUCAGGAAAAUACCUGCUCCGGGGGAUCGCUCAAGUAGCUGGAUCUGUUUUCACAAAGACAGGCACCUUGUUGAAAGGAAGUUGGAGGAGAAAGCUGUAAUUCCCUCUGCUUCACCUUCUCUUCUCCAGCCCUGCUGCCUCAGGAGUUGUGGGGGGUUUUAUUCUAUUAGUUCAUCCUCAAUCACCCUCUGAGGACACAGCAUUCACACACACUCAUGGCCUUGUAUCAACCAUGCUGGCUUAAUUCUUGUACCAAAAGACUGUCACAGAAACCAGAAGGAUUGGGGUGAAGCCAGUCAGGGUGCAAGUAAAGGAGAGCUUUGAGGCUCAAGCUAGGAAACAGCCUCUGACUUUAGGCAGGACUGGAACUAGAGAGAGAGUGCAAAUAUCAAAGGACAUUGAAGGCAUCAAAGGACCAAGCUGCCUAUCUGGCUUUGCCUUACCAGUCUGUAAGGCCUGGGCAAGUCACUUGCCUUCAUGACCUUGGUUUUCCUUAUCUGAAAAUGGAGCUUGAGUAGAAUUCUACAUGCAGAUAGGGGUGAAUUUAGUAUGAGUUCUUAAUGGUCAAAAUACUUUUGAUACUUUAUGAUGUCCAAGGACACAAACAAGAGUGUUCAUAGCAUGUUUUUUGUUUGUUUGUUUGGUCUUGUUUUUUUAAUAGCCCAGACUGGGAAUUACCUGAAUUCACAGUCAAUUGGAUAAAUAUAUUGUAUGAGAUUCACAGUGAAAUCAGUGAGGAAGGCAAGAGGUACGUAUUAUAUACUAUGUGCAAAGAAUGGACUAAUCUCUUAGACAUAAGGUCAAGCCCUAAAAAGCACAAGUAGGAAUCCAUGUGAUGUCAUUUAUAUGAACAUGGAAAGUCUCAGUUUAAGAUUUUAGAAAUGACACCAGUUAUCCCAGUGUAAGUGUCUACAAGGAACCUCCCUGCACAGGGGCACUCUAGAAUCCUGUUCUGCUUCUAGACCUGGAUGUUGGUAUCUUAAACCUUAUUAAAAAUAUACUAGACAGGGGAGCUGGAGAGAUAGCUCAGCAGUUAACAGCACUGACUGCUAUUUUUAGAGGAUUUGGAAUCAACUUCUAACACUCACGUGGCAGCUCACAACCAUAUGGAACUCUAGUUCCAGGGGAUCUGUGCCCUCUCCUGUUCUUCAUGGGACCAGGCACAUACGUGGCAUACAGACAUAUAUCUAGGCAAAACACUCAGACACAUACAUUUUUAGCUAAAAGAAUAUAUAGCAAAUAAAACAUUCUGAGAAGUUAGUGGAAGUGGGAGAAUCUAAUGGCACUUAGGGACCACAGUUCCACUCCCCACUCUUCCUUUACUGUCUGUCUUCCUUUACUGGUUUGAAUGACAGUAGCCCCCAUAGUAUGUUUGAAGCUUAGUCUCCAGUUAGUAAAACUAUUGGGAAAGAUCAGGAGUGUGGCCUUGUUGGAGGAGGAGGUGUGUCACUGGCAAUGGGCUUUGAGGGUUGAAUAGCUCAUGGCAGUCUCAGUUCUGCUCUCUCUGCCUGCAGAUCAGGAUGUAAAGGAUGUAAAGCUCUCAGCUACUGCUCCAGCACCAUGCCUGUCUGCUUCCCACAAUGAUGAUCGUGGACUCCCUCUCUAAAACUGUGAACAAGCCCACAAUUAAAUGCUUUCCUUUAUAAGA